rnacentral:lncRNA from 1 species
UCAUCAGUUCCCUUAGCCUUUUCUUCAGUAAACAUAACCGAUGCAGUUGCUUUUUCAAGUCCCUUUGGCUUGGCAUUAAGUUUGAACACGAGAUAUGUCGAAUAGGAACUGCCCCUUGGGAGGUCCCUAGCAGGCACACUGGUUCGAAUGUCAAACCAGCAAACUUCAACAAGCUCGGCAACCUCGAAGCUGUACAAAGGCAUUAGAAUCAGUUUAGGAUAAUCUUCGAAAGUCAUCAACUAACUAAAGGGAGAAAGUGAGAUAAUAAUAUAAAUGCAAUAGGACUAUAUACAGGACGGGUAUGUGUGAAGUAAGUUCAGGAGGUUUACCCAGAAGGUACAUCAGUGUACCACUUCCAAUAGCGUGUAUCAUUACCGUGAUAAAUCACUAGAUCCCUCGCGUUGAUGGUGUAAGCCUGUGAUGGAAAAUUGAGCAUCGACAAGUUAAUUAAUCUUUAAAGUCAAAAUAACAAAAGACUGAUGAGUAGUUCUCGCAUUGAUACAAACUAAUAACGACUGUUAUAGCUAGUUAUAUACCAUGUUGAAUAGAUGCAGCUCUGGAGUAGUGUUGGAAGGACUGUACGUUUUGUGGAAUGAGGGAUUGAAGAUUGCGGGAAUGGAUAUUUAUAGGCCUAUCUGAUUAACUGACGUUUGCAGAUAUUUCCAAUCUUACCUCAUCAGAGAUGUGUAAAAACGUGUUUCGUGCUGGUGUGAAGGUCAGAUGCUGAUGUGAAUGAGGGUGGCCUUUCACAAAACCACAAAUAUGAGUAUAUGACCAAGUACUAAGCUAUACGCUCCGCCACUUGAAAGUGUAUCCAACCAACCUUAGUGUCAACUGUCAUAUAUCUUUAGCAUAGUCAGCUGUAUCAAUAUACACUAUUCUUUUCCUAAUGAAUUCACCUUUCUCUUUGUAGCGCUGAAUACAUUUGGCUAAUUCUCGUUUUGAUAUUUCACCUGAUUAUAAAUUAUGAUUUUAAAUAAUGUGUUUUUCUUGUGUUCUAGUUUUCUUUUUUGUCUAGAUCUUGGAUUUUCACAAUUGGAAAAAGCUACGAUCUUGAAUCUACCAAAGAUCAAACAGCUCUAUCCGAAUCCAAUUAUUCUCUGCCAUCUCUUUCUACGGGCAAUUUUUGUAAAAACCAUAGCGAAUGCUUAUGGGAAAGUCUUCUUUGCAUGUCUAAAGAUUAGAUGAUAAAAUGAAAAUGGUAGAGCUGGUAAAUGGCACAAUUGGCAAUGUAAAAGAAGGAUAGAGCUUGCAUCGUAGGAAAAACAUGGGAUUUGUACCAUGGAAACUAUAACAGUUCGAUUUUUUUUCUCCCACAGUUGUUCAAAAAAUUUAGCAUAAUUUGUAUGAUUGAAGAAAACAAAAGAUUUAAAGAGGCAAACAAAGAAAAGGAUUGAAGAUUGCCAAGGAAAAGGAAUUAUUUGAAGAGUCUUAACGAUACCAUUAAGGAUAAAUUUAAGGUUACCGAGCAGGUGUAAUCGUGUUUUGUCCAAUUUUAUUUGUACGGUAUAAAUCAUACAAAAUUUAAUGUAAACUUACAUGACUUUCGUGUAGUUAUUGGUGCCGUUGAUGUAUGUAGAUUAGCUCUAUAGCACAUACAUGAAAUCUUGUAAUAAAUAUACAAAAUAGAGUCUUAUAACAAAUAUACAAAAUCUUGUAAGAAUUACGCUAACGGGAUAAAAUUGAAUAAAGCUUAACUAUACUUGUACCCUUGCAAAAUUUUUAUGUUGUGUGAACGCACUUGGUUGGUUUGACCUGCUGGCAAAUACCUAAAUGAACUCUUGUCGACGAAAAACCUUUCCAACACCUCUAGUUGUUACUAGAUACUACACUAUGACCAUCACUUGUGGAAAAGUUGGGAGGGAAUUUUUUUUUUUUUUUUUGGUCAAGGUCAAGAAUUAACAAAAGGCCUUUAUGGGAUAGAAGAAUCAUUUUACGUCCAAAACGGGACACAUAAAAGUCUAUCAAGACCAAGACUUAUAAAAAAGACGUACACUAUACUGUACACUUACAAUACAUAUUUCAAAAAUAAAUUAAUUAGUUAAAUACUUGCUAAAUCAAGCAAUUUUGUCAAGACCAACAUUGUAAACAGCUGUAGACUAGUAGUAAUAUGAACAUCAAACUUAAAAGUUUUGAAAUUUCACAAGAUGCGACAAGUGAAAAUUGUGCAAAGUGACAUGAAAGCAAGAUUCUAGAUCAAAAUAGUUGUUACUUAAUUUGAAUUCGCAGAUUCAUUCAUCCAAAAAAAAAAUUUCACAGAUUCAAAUAGAAAAUCUGAAUGAUAAAAAGACAAUAACAUAAAUUAGCCAAAAUCACUUGUGCAAAUCUCACUGUUCAUUCAAAAAAACUUACUAUUAUAUUUGCGAAGUUCACCUUGUCUUUCCUAGUUGUUACCACUUAUUUGGCAAAUCAUAUUCAUUUUCCGAACAAACUUUCUACUUCAUUAGCUAAGCACUGCAAUUCAGUUUGGUAAACCCUACUACUUUUCCAACAAAUGAGAUUCAAAAUUUGGAAACUAAAUUUUAUUUUUUUAUCAUCUCCAAACAAUUUAGUAUUAGUUCAUACAAAUUUUGGUCAAUUUCGAAGAAUUGUCAUAACUUGAUAGAAAAUCAAACAAGUAAUUCUAAGAUGUAAUAUUACAAUUUCUUUUAAAAUAGGAUUAUAUAUCAUUUGGUAGUCACCGUGAUCUCCCGUUGACAUUCGAUGCAUUUUUACGGCCUUUCUUAGGCAUUGAAAUUAAGUGGGGUUGGCACCUAAAAUCUAAAAGAGCCUAGUCAACAAGGUUGAAAACAAACAGUUCAUUACAAUGAGAAUAAAAAACUCCAAACCACACAACGAGCAGAUGUUGCUUUGGAGUUUUGGAGGGACUAUUUCGUUGAAAGAGGAUUGAAGAUCGAGGAAAUGGGUAAUUAAGUGGCCUUUGAGGAUAUUUCCACAGUGCCCUCAUCAUGGACAUGCAAAAACGUGUUCCACGUUGGUCCUUCUCACUCUUUUACCCGUAUUAAGAUAAACGUAAGCCUUGGAAAAAUUCACACCGUUGUUGCAAUGACAUUAGGUACCAGCCAUAGUAGUAGCUCCGACAAUGACAUUAGGCAACAUUAAUUGCUCAAUAUGCGUGAAUGCAAUGUUAAGUUAAAACUUAGGGGUCCGUUUGGAUUAGCUGUUUUUGGGGUUGUUUUUCAAAAACAACACUGUAGCAUUUCGUUUCAAAAACAACACUGUAGAUUUUAGUUAUGACUACACUGAACUGCAAAACCAUUAUCAGGUCACAGCGUUGCCACUCCAAUUAUACCCAAAAGAUCAUCACGGUAACUUGCAAUCAAACACACCAAUCGCGGAAUAUUUUGGACCAUAAUGCACACUUCUAGAUCCAAAACAUUGAUAGAUUACAAGUAUGAUAAGCUUAUUUGUUACCUACACAUGCGACUAUUACUAGGAGAAUAAGAAAUUCCAAAGGCCCAUUGAUCAAGGAAGUUCGUGUACAUAUAUCGCCAUGAAUCUUGUGGAAUGACAUAUUUCCAGUAUACACAACACAUCCGACUAGUUAGUUGAAUAUAUCAAAUAUUAAUUAAAUAGCAUGAUUUAGUUAAUGAAAUAUUAAUCAUAACACAAAAUUCAUGGACUAAUGGCAGUCAAUUAACUAACGAUGUAUACUUCAUGCAUGAUGGAUUAUUUCUUGUUUAAACAAUAGUAGAUUGGUGCGACAGGAACUCCAUCUAACAAAAUCAGGCUAAAAGAUAAGAAAAUAGGAAGGAUAGUAAGAUUGAUAGAUAUAGAUUAAUAAAGCCAGGGAAUAUUUUUUUUACUAGGAAAAGCUCUAACAUUAAUGGCUACGCAUAUAUCUUUUACAUGAUUAAUACAUCUCUUUAUCAACUUUCCCCAACUAAUCUGAUAGAGUAAAAAAAUAAAAAAAGGAAAAACACAUGUUCCAAAUCAAUUUUCCAUCCAGCUGGAUGGCCAGAAAGUGGAAAGUUCGUUGAGGGAAAAAUCAAGGUUGAACUUUAUAUAAAUUUGGCAUCAAAUUAUCAUCCUAAUUUGACAUAUAUAUUCACAGUUGUAAAGCUAAAAGAAUUUCAACCGAGAAGCAGUAAAAAUUAAAAACACAUAGAUAAUAACAAUAUAAAACCAAAAAAAGAUUUAAAUUUAAAUGCCACAAGAAGGAAAAAGAAAUCUAAAUUAACUAGCACUAAGGCAAAAAAAAUGCCGAUAAAAACCUCCAAAAAGGAAAAAAAAAUUGUUGAACCAACCAAAGUCCCAAAUUUGGUAAAACAAAAAUGAGUUCUCUACCACCUUACCCACAUGUUGAUUCGAGAUUAGAUUGCAGGUUGUGGACUUGUAAGGCUCCGGAGUUUUAGAUUUGGAGCUUGAAGCAUGAAAAAGAAUAUGAAGGUCCUAAAGGAAGAGAUGGGAGUAAGGGUGUGUCACACCCUAUUUUUUGAAAAUAAAAGAGAAAGGUGUUAGAAAAAUGAGUUUUUGAUUUUAGAAAAUAAAGAAAAAGGGCCUAAAAUGGGAUUUUAAAUAAUGCGAUGGUUUGGGCCCAAAAUAUUAGUCUAAAAAGAGUUUUAAAAAGAAAGUCGCUACUUGGUAUUGAGUUUAGAUAUACCAAGGCAAAAAAUUGAUUGACUCAAAUUUAAGGCGCCCUUUUAACCUAGUCGAGACUAGUUGCGAGAUUUAGUCAAAAAUUUUCCUAAUUCUAACCUAUAAAACUUAUUACAUUUGGAUGUUUAUAUAUGGAUGUAAACCUAGAUCUAAGGGGUAUCGAGAGGGAUGAGAUGUCUCUUCAAAGUUUAACUGGUAUAAAUUACAUUAAUUGUGAAGCCCAAAAAUGAUCCCUUGAAGAGGUCACGGAUAUGCAAAAGAUAAGACUCAAGAAAGAAAUUAUGAUAUAAAUAUACAAGACCUAGAAGAGGGGAAUGCAACAUAACGGGUACGAGAGACUAAGAUUCGUGACGCAAUUUUCCUUCUUUCAAAGGGGUAAUAGUGUGCUAAGACUAAAAAAAGCCAUAUUCACCUAUUUCCCAUAUUCGAAAGAAGACUCUUGACGGGCUCUAAACAUAAGUGCAAGUUUAAUCCAAAAUACACCCGUUUGACUGCAAGUAUACAAGUCAACUACUAGUUUAAGAUACAUAUCGAGUCGAUCCCAUGAGAAGCAACUUUACAAGUACUAAGGUUCUUUACUUGCUCUACUAUUUAGACUAACUAUCGAUAAAACAAUGAAAAUAUCAAUACUAACUAUCUAACUAAAUUAACUAGAUAACUUGCAAGUAAAUAAUGGAGAAAUUUCACUAAAUACUUGAGUUUAGGGAAAUAGACUCCACUUAUGGCAUAAAAGAUACAAGUAAAUAGCUUUACCUCUUAUUACUAUUCUUGUUUAACAGGGAUUCAAUUCCAUAUAUAGCAAAACUCAUUCUUAUGAUGAAAUGGCCUAAAAUAGUCUAGUUUUCCCUAUUCUCAUGGUGAAUAACUAAAUCUACUUUUGUAUUCUUCAUGAAAUGCAAGUAUAAUCCACUUAAAUGUACUUCUACUCUCAUGAGUCUACUCCUUAAGCUCCAUUUAUGUUGGUCCAUCAGUAUUACCUACUUUCAUUGAAUAAUAACAACUAAUAGCUUGCUAUUGGUGAUCAAGCAACAAGAAGUGAUAAACAUGCAUAAAUGGACAAGUUAAUAUAAGAUGUAACAAGUAAAAAUCAUAUUCAACUCAUAACAAUUGGCCAUAAGUUUCAUCUACUCCCCAGAUCUAGAAAUUCAGUUACUCAUGUGAAUAAAGACAAUAAUGAGCAUAACUUCAUUGCAUGCAAAUGUAAUGAAUCACAAGUAAAGAGAAAAAUAGAGGAAGCUUAGCGAAGGUGAUGAACAAGCUCCCAAAUCUUCUAUUUCUUCAAUAAUAUGAGUGAUAUAAUGAAGUCUCCAAGUUUUUCUUACGAGUUCCUGACUAGAGAGAAUAAGAAAAGACUACCACUAAAUCCUACCAAAAACUAACAAGAACUUCCUAGAACCCCUUCUCUCCUCAAUGAUUCUUGCAUAUGUAUUGUUAGAGGAGUCAAAAUGUGGUUAAUGACAAGACAUAAAGCUAAUUUUCUCCUUCCUAAUGACUCUUGAGCAUGUGCAGCCGAAAUUCUUGUCUAGAAUUGAGCUAGAAAGCAGUGUGAAAACAAAAUAAGUUGCGAAAAAAAGGAGAGAACACGCAGGCUUUGAAUAUUCAACCUAAUUCCACGUAUUCUGAACUCACGUUUUCUCUUCUGCGACUUAAGCACCUCUUAAACUGAUAUUUUCUCAAUGAUGGAGGCUGAACUAACUCUUUUGCAAAACAUAAAAGUUGUAAUCUUUGAGUUAGCUUUCCAAUGCUUAAGAAUCAUCCAACUUGGAGCUCUGUGGAUCAAAAAAUGACCAAAAUACCCUCAACUGGUCAAAACUCUAUUUCAGCUUUCAACAACAAAAUUGCACUUCUGUAUUUUGACUUUUUGACAAUGAAAAUGAGUAAACUGGACUCCAAUGUCACAUGCCAAAUGUACAUCUAUCUCUUAGCUUCAAAAUGGUUCAAGAAUCACCUCAAUCCGAUGCUUGUAGUUCGAAAUAUUGCCGAAAUACCAUAAGGUGUCAAAGCAGGAAAACUUGCAUCUCAUCUUUUGAACAUUUACACUUCAUGUCUUUUUAAAUUACUGCAAAUCAUCAAUAAUCAUCCAAUUAUCUUUUGCAUUAACUCCAAUUGAUGAUUGAAUCAUUAAACAUACAAAAGCAUGAAAUUUUCACAUUAAAAUCCAUAGAAAUGCAAUUUUUGCCACUUAAACCCAAAAAAUGCAUAACUUUACUAGAAACUUAAGUAAUUAGCUAUAAAUAUGACUAAAACAUACCAAAACUAAAUAAUAAAAUACACUAAAAAUAUAUAAAAUGAUGUUGGUUAAAUGAAGGUUAAAUGAUGUUGGUUGGAUGAUUCCUUGCAAGGAAAUGGUGAAAAAAUAAGAAUUUGUAAAGUGUGUGUGAGUGUGGGUGAGGCGAAAAGAAUGAAAGAAAACAGGGCAGUCGCAUUUUCUAUGUAGUCACUGCAGAAUACAAUACGCGACCAUAGAAUACGCGACUUAAGGUCGAGUAUUUCUGAUACCCCAUAUUCUUCUUUGUUUUCGGAAAAUUCAAAAUGCGACUCUGUGAAUACGCGACUUCAAUUCGCGUUUUGUAUUUUAAUCUUGCAAAACAGAAAACGCGAUUUAUAAUGAGACAUUCAAAGCUUUCCAAUGGUAUAAAAAUCCCCUGCUAGUUCAUUUUUUGUAAACCGUAGCGACUCGGCAAAGUGGACUGUCCUGCUUUGCUAGUCUGUCCGAGAGAAACUGGGAAGCUGCAUCUUGUGGCUCGAUUUUGUCCCACUUGUGAAAAGAUUCAAAAUGAUGUCUUCUAAUGAAUUGUAGAAUUUUGAACCUAGUUUCCAAUGCCAUAAACCAUUCUCAAUUUGGAGUUGUAUAGUGCUAGAUAUGGUUUGAUUUCGAAAAUGCGCCAAAGCUGAAAACUGGAAAAUUUUCCCUUCCGUGCUCACCGAAUGGUCAAAUCUAUUUUGGGAUGUUAUAUUUCAAAAAUUUUAGUGUCAUUUAAACAUCAGUUGCUUCUUAAAUGUUUCUAGAAUCUUGAUUUCAAAAAUGGAGCGAAUUGGGGCUGAUUUCGUUGGACAAAACUUUUCAAAAAGAAAGAGAAAUAGGAUGACAGAUUUGCUUUGACAGAUUUCACAAACUUUGGUUGUUUUGUUAACUGCCUUCCCGUGCAAGUUCUUACCUAAAUUUUAAUAGAGAGGCAGUCCAUAUAUGGAAGUUUAAGAUACCAAAUUUGGUGUAAUUUCAGUACCAUUUCGAUAUACAAAUGAUGCCCCAAAGAUUGCUCUUCAAAACUGGAAAUCCACUGUUCAAGUCACGAAAAUCAACCAACUUCAAACUGUUAUAUCUUGUUGCUCAAAACUCCAAAUUUAGUUCCGCUUGUUGUGUUUGAAACUUGAUUUGGAACUCUUAUUGUGUUAUAAAUUCUAGAGGCUGAUUCACAUCCUGUGAAUUUUACCGAAUUUCCAAACAUCACUGAAAAUCAAGACUAGUUCUGUCUUGUCUCCAUGAAUCAGCAACUUUGAACUGAAAAUGAAUGUUUUCUGUUUGGAAUCUUGGAAAAGUUCUUCUGAAAAGUUUUAGUACUUUUAAACUAGUUUCCAAUAGUGUAAAGUUUUCUAUUUUUGGAUAUACCAACUCAAGAUCUGAUUUUACCAAGUUUGUCGAUCAAAGCUGAAAUUCUUGAUUUCUUAGGAAAUGAGUUUUGAGAACCUUUCAUUUCUUUUUGAUAUUGAUAGUUCGUUUUAAACCUGAUUUCAUGGAGGAUACGAGUUUUCCAUUGUGACUUUAAAUCUUCACUUUUAAAUCUUGAAUUACAAUAGAGUAAAGCUCUUUUAAGACAUUGUCCUAUGUCUAAGUGAACGCACUUCCUUCCUUGUAUGUUAAGUGAUUGUGAGUAUACGUGAGUGCUAAUUGAUCACUAUUUCUUCAGGCCCUCAAGAGGAUAUUGAAGGAAACCUCGGAGCAGACCACUAAAGACUUUAUUUGCUCACUUACUUUUGAAUUGGUAAGUGUCAAGUGCAUGAAUUGUUGCUAUAUCCUGAAUUGUUCAUUAUUAAUUGAGUAUUUUGAAAUUGUCGAGACGAGCGUGUAUUUUAUCGCACUCGUUCUCUUUUAAGUGAAUUUAUAAUUGAAGUAUGUGAAGUGAAAAUUGUAUUUGUGUUGAAUCGAUGUCAAUUGGAGUGAAUCUCAUCGACUUACAAUUAUAUUGGUAUUGACUUUAUAUCGAUUGGAGUGAAUCUCAUCGACUUAUAAUGAUAUUUGUGUUGAAUCGAUGUCGAUUGGAGUGAAUCUCAUCGACUUAUUCUUAUAAUUGUGGGGGACGCCCAAACUCAUAGGCUAACCUUGCGACUCGAGCUGGCAUGAGCUUGGUCGGGAAGUUUGGUGAACCAUGGGAUAGAUUUUAGAGCAUGAUCUAUUUGAGAGAUCUUACUUGGUAUACUCGAGUAAUAUUGCCUUUUCUAAUCAACGUUCGGGCAUGGUUAGGGGGUGUAACGGUGGACAGAAACUUGAUGUUAAGAGGAGUUCUACGAACUUAAUACCUACCCGGUUGACGGAGAGUCAUCACGUGGAGGUAUUGGAUCGAGUCUCGACAAAGCAAGUGGAAUCUAGCUCCUGAGAGCUCCCGUAUCCUUAUUGAUUGUGUUUUAUUAUUUAUUGUGAAUUACAUGAACUCUUUAGCUUUAUCUUUCAUAUAAGUGUUAUUGUUACUUGAACUAUGUGUUUGCAUGAUUUUCUUGGCCUUACUGAGCGUUAGCUCAUCCCAUUAGUUUGUUUUCCUUAACAGGAGCUCGGAAUGGAAAGAAUUUUGAGGAAGCCGACUUGAUUACUUUUGAUUAGAAUCUAGUGAUGUAAUCGAUUAGUCAACUUCUAGUGGUUAUAUUUUGGAGAAAAUUGAUGUACAUUUGAUAACUUGUGAUGUAAGAUUUGAUUAUUUAUGUAAGAAAGUGACUUUUCUUUAUUUUGGCUUUCAAUAUCAGUGAUGUAUCGUUAAGUUCAAAAUUGACUUGUAUCGAGUCCUGACGAGAGUUAGACAGACGUUCCGCGGAUACCCUUGGAUUCGCCUGAGGGAGAAGUGGGGGCGUCACAUCAGCUCGGUAACUUGCAAUCAAACACACCAAUCACGGAAUAUUUUGGACCAUAAUUCACACUUCUAGAUCCAAAACAUUGAUAGAUUACAAGUAUUUGUUACCUACACAUGCGACUAUUGCUAGGAGAAUAAGAAAUUCCAUUGGCCCAUCGAUCAAGGAAAUUCGUAUACAUAUAUCACCAUGAAUCUUGUGGAAUAACGUAUUUCCAGUAUACACAACACAUCCGACUCGUUAGUUGAAUAUAUCAAAUAUUAAUUAAAUAGCAUGAUUUAGUUAAUGAAAUAUUAAUCAUAACACAAAAUUCAUGGACUAAUGGCGGUCAAUUAACUGACGAUAUAUACUUCAUGCAUGAUUGAUUAUUGUUUGUUUAAACAAUAGUAGAUUGGUACGACAGGAACUCCAUCUAACAAAAUCAGGCUAAAAGAUAAGAAAAUAGAAAGGAUAGUAAGAUUGAUAGAUAUAGAUUAAUAUAGCCAGGGAAUUUUUUUUUUUUACUAAGAAAAGCUCCAACAUUAAUGGCUACGCAUAUAUCUUUUACAUGAUUAAUACAUCUCUUUAUCAAUUUUCCCCAACUAAUCUGAUAGAGUAAAAAAACAAAAAAAAGGAAAAACACAUGUUCUAAAUCAAUUUUCCAUCCCGUUAUAUGGCCAAAAAGUAAAAAGUUCAUUGAGGAAAAAUCAAGGUUGAACUUUAUAUAAAUUCGGCAUCAAAUUAUCAUCCUAAUUUGAAAUAUAUAUUCACAGUUGUAAAGCUAAAAGAAUUUCAGCCGAGAAGCAGUAAAAAUUAAAAACACAUAGAUAAUAACAUAAUAAAACCAAAAAAAGAUUUAAAUUUAAAUGCUACAAGAAGGAAAUAAAUCUAAAUUAAUUAGCACAAAGGCAAAAAAAAGUGCCGAUAAAAAUCUCCAAAAAGGAAAAAAAAUUGUCGAACCAACCAAAGUCCCAAAUUUGGUAAAAGAACAAUGAGUUCUCUACCACCUUACCCACAAGCUGAUUCGAGAUUAGAUUGCAGGUUGUGAACUUGUAAGGCUCUGGAGUUCUAGAUUUGAAGCUUGAAGCAUGAAAAAGAAUACGAAGGUCCUAAAGGAAGAGAAGGGAGUAAUGGUGUGUCACACCCCUUUUUUGAAAAUAAAAGAGAAUGGUGUUAGAAAAUGAGUUUUUGAUUUUAGAAAAUAUAGAAAAAGGGGCUAAAAUGGGAUUUUAAAUAAUGCGAUAGUUUGGGCCAAAAUAUUAGUCUAAAAAGGGUUUUAAAAAGAGAGUCGCCACUUGGUAUUGAAUUUAGAUUUACCAAGUCACCCAAAAUGUUUGAAAAAUAAAAAAAAAGUAAAUAAAACUCAUUUAGACGCUUUCAGGUCUUUGAAAAUAAGAAAAUAGUUCAAGAGUCACAGUUGAAGAAAAAAAGACAGAAUUGAUCGAUUCAAAUUUAAGGCACGUUUUCAACCUGGUCGAAACUAGUUACGAGAUUUAGUAAAAAAUUUUCCUAAUUCUAACCUAUAAAACUUAUUACAUUUGGAUGCUUACAUAUAGAUGCAAACCUAGAUCUAAAGGGUAUCAAGAGAGACGAGAUGUCUCUUCAAAGUUUAAUUGGUACAAAUCACAUUAAUUAUGAAGCCCAAAAAUGAUCCCUUGAAGAGAUCACGAAUAUGCAAAAGAUGAAACUCAGGAAGGAAAUUAUGAUACAAAUAUACAUGACCUAGAAGAGGGGAAUGCAACAUAACGGGUAUGGAAGAAUAAGAUUCGUGAUGCAAUUUUUUUUCUUAUAAAGGGGUAAUAGCUGUUAAGGCUAAAAAAAAAGUCAUACUCGUCCAUUUCUCAUAUUCGAAGGGUAACUCUUGACAGGUUCUAAAUAUAAGUGCAAGUUUAAUCUAAAAUACACCUGUUUUACUGCAAGUAUACAGGUCAACUAGUAGUUUAUGGCAUAUAUCGAGUCGAUCCUACGAGGAGCAAUUUUACAAGUACUAGGUCCUUUACUUGCUCUAUUAUUUAGAUUAACUAUCAAUAAAAGCAAUGAAAAUAGCAAUACUAACUAUCUAACUAAAUUAACUGGAUAACUUGCAAGUAAACAAUGGUGAAGAAUCCACUUAUGGCACAAAAGAUACAGAUAAAUAGAUUUAUCUCUUGUUACUAUUCUUGUUUAACUAGGGAUUUAUUUUCAUAUUUACCAAAACUCAUUUUUAUGAUGAAAUGGCCUAGAAUAGUUUAGUUUUUCCUAUUCUCAUGAUGAAUAACCAGAUCUAUUUUUGUAUUCUUCAUAAAAUGCAAGUAUAAUCUACUUAAGUGCACCUCUAUUCUCACGAGUCUACUCCUUAAUCUCCACUUAUGUUGGUCCAUCAUUAUUAUCUACUUUUAUUGAAUAAUAACAACUAAUAACUUGCUAUUGGUGAUUAAGCAACAACAAGUGAUAAACAUACAUAAAUGGAUAAGUUAAUAUAAGAUGUAACAAGUGUAAAUCAUAUUCAACUCAUAUCAAUUGGCCAUAAGUUUCAUCUACUCCCUUGAUCUAGAAAUUUAGCUACUCAUGUGAAUAAAGACAGUAAAGAGCAUAAAUUCAUUGCAUGCAAACCUAAUGGAUCACAAGUAAAGAGAAAGAUAGAGAAAGCUUAGCCAAGGUGAUGAACGAGCUCUCAAAUAUUUUAUUUCUUCAACAAUAUAAGUGAUACAAUGAAGUCCCCAAGUUUUUCUUAUAAGUUCCUAACUAGAGAGAAUGAGAAAAGACUAAAACUAAAUCUUACCAAAAACUAACAAAAACUUCCUAGAACCCCUUCUCUCCUCAAGGAUUUUUGCAUAUGUAUUGUUAGAGGAGUCAAAAAGUGGUUAAUGACAAGACAUAAAGCUCAUUUCUCCUCCCUAAUGACUCUUGAGUGAAUUCUUGUCUAGAAUUGAGCUAGAAAGCAGUGUGAAAACAAAACAAGUUGCAAAAAAGAAAGAGGAGAAUACGCAGGCUUUUAAUACACGACCUAAUUCCACGUAUUCUCAGCUCACGUUUUCUUUUCUGUGACUUAAGCACCUCUUCAACUGAUAUUUUCUCAAUGAUGGAGGCUGAACUAACUCUUUUACAAAACAUGAAAGUUGUAACCCUUUGAGUUAUCUUUCCAAUGCUUAAGAAUCAUCCAACUUGGAGCUCUGUGGAUCGAGAAAUGACCAAAAUACCGUCAAAUGGUCAAAACACUAUUUCAGUUUUCGAUAACAAAAUUCCACUUCUAUAUUUUGACUUUUUUGACUAUGAAAAUGAUUAAACUGGACUUCAAUGUCUCAUACCAAAUGUAGAUCAAUCUCUUAGUUUCAAAAUGGUUCAAGAAUCUGUGAGAACCUGAAAAUUUUCAUAUUUUACAGGCAUUAUUUUAUUUCUUUGCCUACAUUUUUAUUACUUUCCUUUAAAAUAUUACAUUUUCUAUAUAUUUUAUAAGUAAGUACAGUUUUUAAAUCAUUUUUCUGAUAUAAGUUAGUGUACGUUCAAUUUGAAGUGCAUUAGGGACGUGGGACCCGCUAGUGCGGUAAGUGCGAUAAAUUUGGACCAAUAGUUGGAGUUUUGUGUUAAGUGAUAUAAUUCUCCAGGGAGCUAGAAGAUAAUGGGAGGUUAGCUAGAUUAAUUAGUAUUGGAGAGAAGAAGAUAAGAUUAAAGUUUAGAGGCGCCACGUGUUGCGACCCGAUUAGUGAGUGGACUUUGACUAAGAGUAUUUCACUUUCCUAAACUUCAAUUUUGACCCAAUUUUUAUCCCAUUUUAAGCUUCCUUGGCCGGCCACCUUUAGGGAAAGAAACCAAGAGAGAAACUUCAUUUGUUCUUCAAUUUCUUGCCCAAUCUUGAAUUCCAACCAGAAUUUUUGCAAAACCCUCCAUAAAAGUUGUUUACUAAGGUGGAUUAAAGGAUUGAGUGGAGUGAUUUUGGAAGGACAAGCUCCAAGCUACUACCCUUCUUGAGGUGUUAAGGUACUUUGUCAAGAAAUCUUCUUUUUGUUACUAAUAAUGGUAAAUUAGUAGUUUGCAGUGGCUAAAUAUGUUAUUUUAUGGAAGAUUUUGUGGUUUGAGGUAGAGUUAGCUAAAUUUCAGAUUUUUUGGGUGAUUUUUCUGCCCUCAUAUGAUGAUUAAUGAUUGGCCUUGGAAUGGUAGCUUUGUUAUGUGUAAAAUGAAGCUUUUAUGUGUUAGUUGUGGUUGAUUGCGGAAAUUUCAGUUUGUACGGAAAAUUUAAGCUUUAGGGUUUCAAUUUGGGGGCUUUCUUCUGAUUGGUAUUGGAGCUAUUAAUUGGCUCAAAUUGAAGAGUAUUGUGGCCCUAAUUAGGUGUGUUUUAUAACUUAUGAUUUGUAUGUGCAAUUGUGGUUGAGUUGUAGGAUGAAAAAGUAAGGAAUUUAGGGGAUAUGCUGUCCAAAUUUUGGGGAUAUUGGAUUUCUUCGAGCUUGGUUUGAUUUGGGGUAUAUAAGAAGACUUUUGGGUCGCUCGAGCCCUAGGUCUUCAUGUUACCUUUUCGUUCCAAAAAUCAUGUUUUGUACCCUUGCAUUCGUAAUUAUUUGAAGAGGCAUACGACUUGUAGUCGAGCCUCAUUUGUGCAUUUCGUUUACUGGAUUUGUGGCUAUGGGAACCAUAAUUGCUUACCUUGGUUAUUCUAGGGUUUCUUGGUGAUUAGAGCCCUACUUUGGUUGAAACUUUUGAAGUAUCCUUGCUUAACUGGUGAGUGUACCAUUCCCCUCAAUUGUUGCGUAACUUGGUAUAUGUGCAAAUUGGGACUUGAAUGACUGUAUCAUCUGUUUAUUCUGUAUGAGACGAGGGUGUACUUUAUCACACUCGUUCUCUGGCCUGUGUGACUUGUUUCAUGUAUAUACUCGAAUUUGUUACUUGCGCCUGAUAUGAUGUCGUUUGGAAGUGUAUCCAACAACCUUCCUGUUAAAUCUAAGCUCAAUCUCAUGGGGAGUCAAUUAAAUCAAGCCAGCAAGGGCUUGGUUGAGGAAAAUUGACAAUCCAUGGGUGCCUGUUCUUGGGAAAUCUUUGGGUAUUGGAAACUUUAGAUUUCCGGUAUACUCGAGUAUUACCAUUCCUGUUCUUGUUUGGCGUUCGAGCCCAGUAAGGGGCAUGUUUGGUGAACGGGAUUUUGCAUAAGAGGGGUCUACAGACAUGUGUGUUUCAUUAAACGUUGAUGGAGGGUCAACGAGGCUGGAUCAAGUAUUGCAACGGGGAUUUGGCUCCUGAGCCACCUGUAUCCUUUAAAUUGUGGUGUUCAUUCAUUUCUCGUAUUUGAUGUGUAUAUGUGCCUUAAAAGUGAAUUCUCAUGAUUUCUACUGUUUAUACUUUUGGUACCUCAUUGAGCUUUUAACUCACCCCGUUCCGUUAUUCUUGUUUUCCUUACAGGGAACAAUCUUUUGGAACUUCGCUGUUUUGAAGAAUGAGUUGAGCUAGUUAGAAAUUCUUUUGUUCUUUUGGUAUAGCUCCUCGACAAUUUGGAAACCCUAAAUGUAUCUUAAUACAAUGUUUCCUUUGGAUUUGUAAACUUAACAAUAUGAAUAUUUUAAAGAGUUUCCUCAUGUUUAUGUAGCAUAUGUAUUUGGGAAUGUUCAUUCUCUCAUGAGAGACAAAGUUUACUUGUAUUUGGUUGAGUUUUAGACGAGUGCGAAAGUUGAUCGAGAAAAGAAGAAAUAUUGGCGAGGUUACUGUCACCGAAUCCGGCCAAGUUUUGGCCGGAUACCUGGCCGAACCAGCAGGGAAGUUUUGAAAAAUUUUUAUUUUGGCCUCUGCCUCCAAUCCGACCUAGAAUCCGGCCAAAAACCGGCCGGAUUGUGACAUGGCAGUCACUAUUCACCUUCAGUUCGAUUUUCGUUUUCCAUUCUGUGGUUGUUGAAUUGUUUAAACGCACUAAUAUAUUUCGGAACAUUUUAGUUUGUAUAUAAUCAUCUUAGUAGUCCUGGCGAGAGUUGGGCAGGCAGUUCGCUAACCCAUUUGGUACGCCUUAGGGGAAGGUGGAACUGUCACAGAAUCACCUCAAUCCAAUGUUUGUAGCUUGAAAUAUCGCCGAAAUACCAUAAGGUGUCAAAGCUAGAAAACUUGCAUCUCAUCGUUUGAACAUUUUACACUUCAUGUCUUUUUUAAAUUACUUCAAAUAAUCAAUAAUCAUCCAAUUAUCUUUUCCAUUAACUCCUAUUGAUGAUUGAAUCAUUAAACCUAUAAAAGCAUGAAGUUUUCGCAUUAACAUCCAUAGAAAUAUAAUUUUUGCCACUUAAACCCAAAAAAUGCAUAACUUUACUAGAAACUUAAGUAAUUAGCUAUAAAUAUGACUAAAACAUGCUAAAAGUAAAUAAUAAAACACACUAACAAUAUGUAAAAUAUGCACUUAUCAACUCUCCUAACCUAAACAAGCAAAAUGGACUUUAACCUAUUUUUUUUCUAAUUUAUCUAAAUGAGAUGCAAAUUUAAAUGAUAUGAUUUGCGCACAUAAGGAUAAGAGAAUAGGGGAGACAUAUCAUGCAAAAGAAAAAAAAUGCAUGAGAUGCAAUAAAUGUCAAACCAAAGCAUGAAUCUAUCGUAUCGAUGGCCUAAAGGGUCUAGCAUUGGACUAGCGCAUUUCUACAAGUUCUUACUAGCAUUGGACUAGGGAGAAAUCGGGGAAAAGAGCCACAGCUAGCAUUGGACUAGUGCGGUGACAUUAUGCAAUCAUUAUAAAUAAAUAAAGUGUAUAAAGUAUGACUAAAAUAGAUAAACACAAAGUGCACAUAGAUCACAUAGAACAUAGACAUGAUAUCUAAAUACAAAACCCUAGAAAAAAACAAGUAGACAUGCAAGCAUAUAAACACCCAAAUAGGUAAGCAAAUAAGACCUAACUAUUACAUUGAGAACCCUAACUACAAUCUAAAAGGGAAAUUUUAAAAAUAAUAGACCUAUCUAUUACAUUUAUCUAACUAAUUACAUUUUUGGUAAAAAAUAAAAUCUAUCGAUUGCAUCACCUAUCUAAAUACAUUUCUUGGCAAGAGGGUAUAACCUAUCUAUUACAAUUUGGCAUUUAAAUGCCUUCCAAACAAACAUCCAAAUUAAAUAAAAUAAAUAAAGGCUUAAAAUGAAUUAAAUGAAUAAAUAAAAGAAAAACCAUAUAAAAACAUGCAAUCACACAUGAAAAUACAUAGGAUCACAUAAAAGAAUUUAAAAAAUAAUAGAGAGUACCUUCCUUGAAAUAGUGGCUAAGUGUAAAGGAUGUAAAGUUGUCACUUUUCCCAAAAAAUUAACAAGCGUGUCAAUGCACCAAUUUAAUUUACAAUUUUCAAAGAGAAUAAGAACCAAAAAUUUAAUCUAAUAAUUCAACAUUCCAAACAAGACACAAAAAAUCAAGGAAUCAAGAGAAAUUUCAAAAAAAACUAAAAAUAAAAAUAAAAUAGAAAAAAUUUAGGGACUAAAAUGCAAAAAUUAAAAAGUUUUAGGGUAAAAAUAUAAUUUUCCAAAGAUUAAGGACCUAAGUGCAAUUUUUGCAAGAAGAGUCCCUACCGCCCAAAUUUUCCUCACAUAAUAUUAACUCCCAAAAUUGAUUUGAAAACCCCCCAUAUUAAAGUUAUUGCAUUAAUUUCCCAAAUUAUAAAAAAUAAAACGUAAAAUUCAACAAAAAUUACUUAAGCCCCGAUCUACUUUAGAACCAAAACAUAACUCAUCAAAAUCAUGUCUAAGAUGCAUAAGACAACCCAAGGCCUCAAAGGGAGAAAUUUGCACAUUAUCAUAAUUUUAGGGGUCAUACUGCAAUUAUACAAAAAUAUUGGGGUCAAAAUGUAAAUAUUUUCAUGAAUUGAAAAAUCAGCAAGUAAUAAACGGCUGAAUCAAAUGAAUUUCCAGAAAUUAAGAUCACGUAGAAAGUCACAAAUGUAUAUGAUGAAAUAAAUAACAAAAGAAGAAAGAAAAACAAGCUUUUGGUUUUAAUUACUUCAUGUGCCCGUUCACUAGUUUUGGGGCUUUUUUAUCAUAGUCCAAACAAGAAUUAAUCAACAAGCCAACACAAAAAACACGGAGGCCCAAGCAUAAGCCUAACAUGAAUAAAUUCUUGGCCCAAUUUUUUAAUUCACAAACGCAUCCAACUAAACACUCACAACCCUAAUGGAUCAAACAUAACAAAACAAAACAAAGUAAAAAGAGCAUAAAUAAAUAAAAAAACCAAAAAAAUAGAAAAAUUCCUGCCAAGUCAGCCAGAAUCUUGCCGGAACCCAUUUUUAUAAACUUUUGAGAUCGGAUCUUUUCAUAUACAUGAAGCCCAUGGUUUAUGGGCUCAACCAAACAUCAAACCAGGAUAAGCAUGUAAAAUGAAGAUCUAAGCUCCUUGAGCAUGAACAUCCAUGACCACAUUCAAAUCCCUUGCAUGAACAUCGAGCCAAAAAGGGAAAAGUCAUGGAAAUACCUAAGGAUGGUUUAGGAUCAGAUUAAAACCAAAAAAUACGAACGGAAGCACAAUUGAUAAAGCUUCAAACGUGAUUGUUCUAGUGGUUAAUUUCUUCAAGAUAUACCACUAGAUGUUCUUGUGGUUAAAAAACUAGCAUAGCUCUUGAUUUGUUGGUUGGAUUUACUUGGAAAUUUUCCAUUGAUAACCAAGGGCUAAUGAUUGAUGAAACCCUUAGGGAUUUGAGUGAAUUUUUGUUGGUUAAAUGGUUGUUCUGUUGGCAAAAUUCUUGAGGAAUUUUCGAAUGAGCUAGCCGAAUGAAUAGGGUUAAUUUUCAACCUUCAUUUUCGACAUUUUUGUGUUCUUUUAAACUAAAUUUCACUCAAGUGACUUGCUAUUAUGUUAAACUAUGAUUAUAUGUUGAAAUGGAGUUGAAAUCUAGGAAUUUUAACAGUUAAAAGUCAUUUUUAUUUCACUAUUUUUGGGCUAAGAACUAUCCAGGCAGCAAUGGUGAAAUCGAGACUGUUUUGCCCUUGAUUUUGUUUUUUCACACAUCAAAUUUUUGGGAAAACUAAUCUAGAUACAUGUCAUUUUCAUAACUCGAGCUUUCGUGUCGAGUUCAACUGAAUUUGAUUUAGUUUCGCGAAUUGUUGAGGCGAAACUUAUUAUCUUUCUUUACGUGUUUAUAGGAGUGAUUGAAGAUUGUGAUAUCGAUCCUAACUUGGAUUCGGAGCUUUGAUAUAUAGGUGAGUUUCCAUGCAUGUUAUCCGACUUGAAUUUGCAAAUGUGACAUAAAUGUAAACUUGAUGUUGUGACUAAGAUGAAUAUUGUUUUGAAUUGUUGAAGUGUUGUGAUGUCGCUUCGGUUGUUACCCCAUCGACGAUCAGUGAUUGAGUAUGCAUGUUAAUUCUUGGGAAUUCCUGAGUCCUAUAGGUAAGUCUGUUGAUUCGAACCAGUCAUGGGACUUGGUCGAGGAGAUUUGACGAGCCAUAGAAGAGUGUUUUAUAUUCGCUGGACUUAGUGUUUAGACUUGUCCCUUUUGAAGUGAAAACUAUGGUAUGCUUGAGCAAUACCCAUUUUAAGUCUUUUGGAUUUCGGGCCCGAUAAGGGAAGUCAAUGGAAGGAGAAUGAAGUAAGUGGAUUUCUACAUAAUGAUAAAACUUGAGAGUCGACGGAGUGUCGACUAUGUGAAAUAAGAUCAAAAUUCGUGGAAAUUGACUCCUGAGAGCCACCCGUAUCCUACCCCUUGAUAUUGUUAAUCGCUUUAUUUACUCGCUUUGAAUUGUGAACUUGAAGUGUAAUUUGAACUGCUCUAUAUGACUGUAUGUUUUUUGGAACUCACUGGGCGUUAGCUCAUUCUUUCAAAUUUGUUUUCCUUAACAGGAAUUGAGUACCCGAGUGAAGCCGCUGUCAAUUAGGGUGUAACCCUGUUUCUUUUGUACCUUGUUUUGGGUUGUUAAACAUUGAAUUCGAUAUUUUGGAAGCUUGUAAGAUGAACUUUGAUUGUAUCUUAAGUACGUUGGAUCGUAUUUUUAUUAGUCAGGUUGUAAGUUGAACUUAGUCAUGUUAUAAGCUGUGGAAUUAUUAUUUAAGUACUUUUGAAGUAUUUUAUUCGAUUGUAUGAGUGAGUCCUGGCGUGAGUUGGGUAGGCAGCUAACUGGACCCUUUGGUUCGCCCUAGGAGAGGCAAUGGUUUUAAACCCGAAACGGGGAGUGAAUAGGAAAACCUUCCGGUUCAUGGUUCGACUGUUUCAACCAGUUCAACCCCCGGUUCGAAGGUUUAAUAAUUUUUUAUUCAUUUUAGUAUUAAAAAUUUUGAAUAAAACUAAAAUAUUUAUUUUAGAAAAUAAAUAUUUAAUAAAAACCAGUUGACCCUCCCGAUUUUUACCGGUUCAACCGGGUCUUGACCGGUUUAAUUAAUUCUUUGGCUUUGUGAUUGAAUCGGACUAGAGGUGAUAAGUGACUAAUUUACGUAAUAAUUGUAUGAUAUUUUAUAUUAUUUUUAGUUACUUUAGUUAUAUUAUUGGAAGAAAAUGAAUUAUUUUGGCUAUAAUUGGUGAAAAAUACUUUUAAGAGAUUAAAUGAGCUUUUUAUCACUUUUUACUUGGAUUUUGUGUAUUUUGACAGUUUUGACACAUUUUCGUAUUUCGGCUAUAACUUGAGCUACAAUGAUCGGAUUGGGAUGAUUCUUGAACCCAUUUGAAGAUAAGAAAUAGAUCUACAACUUUGGUGAAGAUAUCUGAAUCCAGUUUGAAGGUUUUCUAGGUCAAAAACCCGAAUAACAGUAGCAAAUUUGUACUGGUCGAAGCUGAAACAGGGCAAUGAGCAGGCAAGGGGAAGGAAGAGAGAGACAUACGGGAGAACUUGGAGAGUGCAGAAAUGUAGCUCUUUCAUCUUCUGAGUGUUAGGUUAGCAUUAGUGUAGACUAGUAUAGUUCAUCCAUUCUUGAAUGUUAGCUAGGUUAGGAUGAAGAUGGAGAUGAAGAAGGAGAAGUUGAAACUCAAGUGACAUGGGUUAUCUCUUCUCCAACUCUUUAUCUUUUGUAUCAGAUUCUUAAGUUUAGUUAAUAUACAAGUUCUGGAUUUUGUGUUUAUUAUGUGUCUCUAAAGUUUAUGCCUUGGGUUUGGUUGAACUUUCUAUAAUUGUUGGUGUUUAUUAUUUGGUUAUUUGAUUGCUAUGAUUUGAGCAAGUUAUUUAGCACUUUGGCUCUUUAAAUCAUGAUUAAUCUGGUACCAUUGAUUGUGAUUAUCUAAGGUGUUGUUUCUGCAAUGAAAAUUGAGAUUUAACACUAGUUCAAGAAGUGCUAAACAUAGGAAGUACACUCACGAAAGUAGAGGUGCACUUAUAUGGUUUUUAGUGAUUCAUUUCAUGUAAUUUCAUUGAAGAAAUGAACUUGUAGCUAAUUUCAUAACCAUGAAAAUAGGUAUGGAUUAGUUAUGAGUAUAGUUGAUUCACUACGAAAGUAGGUUUCACAUGUUUAAGGAAAUUACACCAUAACUAGCCUAGAUGUAGUACUCAAUGAUCCAAAUAUAGCACUUGCAUGAGUAGUUAGGGAUACCACAACCUAAGGAGCAUUCAUUUGCUAUUUUGUAUAAUUUCAGUAGGUUAAAUUUGUUAUAAUUCAUUAAUAGUCUAAAUAAUAGAGAAGCUUUAGUAGUACCGGUAAUUGUUCACUCUUCCUUGUGGGAUCGACCCGAUAUAUACCCUAAACUACUAGUUGACCUAUAUACUUGUAGUGAACGGGUGUAAUUCGAUUUUUUAACUUGUACGUAUGUAAAAUACCCGUCAGGAGGCAUGGCCGGUUCGUGGUUUGACCGGCCGAACCGGCCGGUCCAGUCUGGUUUUUAAAACAUUGAGGGGAGGAGAAGGUGGGCUGUCACAUUUUUAGCAACAAGUAAUUCUUGUUCUUUUUUUCACUUCCUUAUUUAUAGCAUAGUUUCUUAUUUAUAGUCAAUUUCAAAAAAAUCUAUUAACGAGCCACCUUUUAUAAAUUUCUAUUAAUCGUACAUUCUUUAUUUUUUUUGUCCAUCAAUCAUAUCUUUCCUUUUCUAAUCAUCUUCAAUCAUGUUCUGUCAUUUUUUUUCCUAUUCUAUACUUCCUUUUUUUUUUUUUUUUUUUUUUUUAAAAGGGGAAACCCCUGAUAUUUUAUUUAUACUAACGGAUAAAUCCAAGAAGGUGGAAAAAUCCCCAACCUUCAAUACAUGCUGAAUAACUAGGAGCUAUACCUACACAGGGAACUUGCGAAUGUAUGGAAAACCUAUCGCAUCCAAAUUUAUCAGCGACCGAACUCUACUUGGUAGCUGGUGAACAGAUUGAAAAGUAACAUAUGGGCUCUCCCGAGAUAACUCUGCUAAGCUGUCUGCCACGGCAUUCGCCUCACGAUGAAUAUGUGUAAUAGACCCCUUCACCUUGCCCAGUAACAAGCGAAGUUGACUUAAGACGCUACACAACGGCCACUUACCAACCGAUCGAUUCUGGACCAACCUUACCAACACUAAGGAAUCCACCUCUACCAAAAUCUCUGACAACCCUGCCCCCGUACACCACUGCAGCCCAGCACACAAUGCCAAGCCCUCCGCAUGGACCACUUCAUAUUCCCCAAAUUCCUUAUAAAAAGCACCAAUCAUUUUCCCUUCAGAAUAACGUACCACCCCACCACCUUUAGCUACACCAUUGAUCACACUUGCAUCUGUGUUAAGUUUGUACGACCCUCUAGGCGGCUUCAUCCAUGAUAUAGCCUUCAGACAGAAGGAUUUGGCUGGCUUGAGCCGGAAAAACCGUGCAAAAUACGUAUCCAUAUCCCCCUCCAACUGCGCUUUGUUUAACAUACAUGCUGCCCCCUUAGCAACCAACCACCCAUUGGCUUCGAAGAUAACUUGGGAAUGGACAGGGUGAAGAUUUUCAAACCGGGCAUCAUUUCUACUACGCCAUAGAAACCAUAACACCACUACCGGUAUUACACACCGAACAUGAUCCAAUCGGCCAUUGCUAGAUGAUUGAAACCACACCACAAGCAGUGAAGAAACACAUGAGAAUGAACGCCACUGAAUUCCGCAAGCCAGAAAGAAAUGCUGCCAAACAGCACUGGCUACCCUGCCAUGUAAGAAAAUAUGAUUCAAGGAUUCUACCGCAUUACCACAGCAAUCACACUUAGAAACCAAGGCCAUUCCUCUAGACCGGAGCUUAUCAUCCAGAGGGAGAAAAUCAGACAACACCCUCCAAGCUAAAUACGACAUUUUUAACGGAAGUAACGGACACCAAAUUCCACGGCAAACCAAAGACGUGUUGCGCCGCUGCCGAACUAGUUCCCAGGCUGACGACACAGAAAAUGCACCAUCAGCGGAAGGAGCCCAAAUUAACUCGUCCUUAAGCUUCGGAUCUACAAGUGUUUGGGAAAUAAUAUUAACAAUAGAUCGUGGAAGAACCUGGAGGAGACGAUCAGUAUUCCACCCCGUAGAGGUGUAAAACUCAGCUACCAAAAAGUGAGGAGGCGAACCAGAAACCUGGCUGCUAAGUGGUUCAUUGAAAAGCCAUCGAUCAUACCACAAAUCGAUGAAGCCUUCACCGAGCCGCCAACGAAUGUUAUCUUCAGUGAUCGCCCGCACCAAACAGACCCUCUUCCAUGUUGCCGACCCCACAGCUGCCGAAGCCGAACCUGGAUGUUGCUCGCCAAUGUACUUACGGUGCAUAAAUCUGGCCCAAGGAGAGCUCUUUUGACGUAUUGUCCACCAUAGUUUCAUUGCAAAAGCCCUCUCCAAAUCCAAAAGAGACCGAAACCCCAAUCCCCCUUCUUCCACUGGAAAGCAGACUUUUUCCCAAGAGGACCAAUGAAUCCUCCUACCAUCCUUGCCAUCCCACAGAAAGGCGUUAAACAGCUUGCCCAAUCUAAUAAAGACCCCCUUAGGUGGUUUAGUAACCUGCAGGAGGUAAAGAGGCAUUGAACUCAACACAUGACGAAUCAAUAUGAGUUUCCCCCCAGCAGACAGAAACCGGGAACUCCAAUGAUGAAGCUUUGCUCUCACGGAGGCAAUUACUCCAUCAAACAAGACAGUUUUGCUACGGCCAAGAGAAAGCGGGACUCCCAAGUAUUUGACAGGCCAAGGCUGCCCUUGAAACCCCGUUUCUUGCUGAAUUAAUUGGAUAACCUCCGAAGAGAGCUUCGACGAACACAGAAAGCGACUCUUAGAGAGAUUAAUUUUUUGGCCAGAGAGAGCUUGAUAGUCGUGUAGAAAGGACGAUACCGCCUGUAAGCAUUCAGUCGAUGCCCGGGUGAAAAUAAUCACGUCAUCGGCAAACGCAAGAAAUGGGACCAUCCCUCCCUUAGUCAAAAAUCUAAACGCUGGAUUGUUAGAAAACAGCCGUUGAAGACCCCUUCCAAGAAAUUCCGAGACAAAAAGGAAGAGAGUGGACGAUAACGGAUCCCCCUGGCGAACCCCUCUAGUCGACUUGAAAAAGCCGGUGAGUUCUCCAUUAACCAGGACAGAAAACCAGACGUUGGAUACCAACCGAAAAACCAGAUCCACUACCCCUUCUUUAAAACCAAAUUCUCGCAGCAUAUAUAACAAAAACCCCCAGUCCACACUGUCAUACGCCUUCUCCAUAUCCAACUUCAAGAUUACAUUAGGGUGACGCAGCUUUUUGUCCAAAUCCAGAAUCAAUUCCUGAGCAAGCAAAACAUUAUCUUGUAUUCCCCUGCCCGGAAUAAAACCAGUCUGAAACUCUAAAAUCAACCUAGGAAGGAGCUGGUUGAUACGGGUGGACAAAACCUUAGAAAUGAUCUUGGCACUAACAUUAGCUAAACUUAUUGGUCGGAAAUCUUUCCACUCACAAGCGCCUUCCCUCUUGGGGAGUAAAAUGAUCGUCGUACUGGAAAAUCCGCGUGGCAUUGUGGCACCAGCAAAAAAAUCCUGCACCCCGUCCAUGAAGUCAUCUCUUAUACACUCCCAACAACUUUGAUAAAAACCCCCGCCAAACCCAUCAGGCCCCGCAGCGCUCUGAGGAUCCAUUGAGCACACCACAGUAUAAACCUCAUCCACCGAUGGAGAUUUCAGCAGCAUGUCAUUCUCUUCUGGCGUAAGCUUAGGCAGCUCAAGCGAAGGCCUGCUCCCUGAACGAACAUCGCGGUCUGCUGUGAACAAAGAGGAGAAAAAAUCAGACGCUGACAGUUUAAUAUCCUCGAUAUUAUCAAGCCAACUGUCCCCGGGGCCCCUAAUUCGUGCAAUAAAAUUAGGGCUGCGUUUCUGCUUAACCGUUGCAUGGAAAAAAGAAGUAUUCGCGUCGCCCUCUUUGAUCCAUUUGAUUGCUGCCUUCUGUCUCCAGAAGUCACAUUCUAAGGCUAGCUCCCGAGAAUGGAGUGCCCGCGCCUCAUGUACUGCCGACCUAGACAACACGUCCCUAUUUUGAUCAUACAACAAUUCCUUGGCCAAUAGAUUAUCCGCUGCCACUUUGACCCGUUGAGAGACAUUCCCAAAAACAUCCACAUUCCAUCCAGCUAAGACUCGCUUAACCACCUUCAACUUAUUAAAAAAUUUCUGCAUUCCCAUUCCAGGAACAGGUUGAGCCCAAGCAGACUUAACUGUUUGUUGAAAAGUAGGAUGACUCCGCCAAACAUUAAGAAAGCGAAAGGACGACCGCCGCCUUGCCAUGCUGCCUCCCUUAACCAGCAACGGACAGUGAUCAGAUCGCCCUCGCUGAAGAUGAGCAACUCGAGUCAGCUCAAUAGAAGACAGCCAACCAGCAUUAACAACCGCUCGAUCAAUCCGCUGCCACAUACGCCCAUUAGUCCAUGUGUAGGCAGACCCAUCAAACGGUACCGGAAAUAGUCCACUCCGAUUUAAUGCAGAGUUAAAUUCUGCCAGGUCACGAAUAUUCGGGGCUGAACCUCCAAUCCUUUCUUCAACAGAAGAAAUAACAUUGUAAUCCCCUACGGCCAUCCAUGGGAGUGUAACAGACGUUGAAAAAUGCUCCAGAGCCUCCCAUAACUGUCGCCUACCAAUUCUGUUACACCGCGCGUAAACAGCAGAAAUAAAAAUGGAAGAACCAGAGGGGAAAGACACAUGUAUGUGGACCACCUGAUCCGCAGCUUCUACAAAAGAAUAUCGCGCAUCUGAACACCAGAAAAUCCAAAUUUUGUUGUGCAAGAAGGACUGCGCAAAAUCAAAACCCAAGAACAGCUGCACACUAUCCAAAUGGGAGACAUUAGCUAAUGGCUCCAAUAGGAUCAGUAAACGAAUAUCGUUUGAUCUACAAGCGCUACGAAUGUGCCUCAAUGACUCCUUAUUCGCAGCACCCCGAAUGUUCCACACUAUAAACUUAAUCGGAUCUAACAUUAUGGGACCGAAGGUUAUAAGGAGCAGCUGAAGGCUUACCGUCUCUUUUUGUAGUCUGCCUACCACGAGUCUUGUGACCUUGAACCAAAUUCUGCAGCAAUUGUGUGUCAGUAUCAUCCAGAAGAGCUCCAGGGACACCCGGGUCGUCGCUUAACUUAGAUGCUGCAAUUCUGCUGACCAGCCGAUCCCUAAAAUUUUUUAACUCAUCCAAAGAGAUACCUUUCAACCCUAACUGUCCCUCAGAGUUAUAGCGCACUAGACGAGCAUGACCUUCAUACCGUCGAGGAGAAAGGGAACAAGCCCGCUCGCGCUGCAGCAUUGAAGGCACAGAUUUAGUCAGCAAAAGAUCAUCUCGACCGAAAGAAGGAAUUGUGGCGGAUAAAGCUUUAACCGGAGAAGAAGAAUUCGGGGGAUAACAAGUCAGUACUGAGAGAUCAUUCUGUGUAGUCGCAGCACCCCCCCGAUAUGAAUCAGGGAGAACGGGAUCCUGAGCAUGAACAUUAGUCUGUGUAGGGUUACCCCUAGCAGGGGUAGACGAUGAUGAUGGAAUAACAGUAAUAGAGACAUCUGCAGUGGGAAUACUGCUUUCCUGCACUUGUACCCUUGGGGCUGUCACGACCCCCGAAUCCACCACAGGAGGAGAUUCUUCGACAGCCGGUCCUCUUUUCGGUUGAAAGACUUGCCUGCCUUGAGACGGAACCGGUGGUCUAGCGCGUCGCACAGGCCGCAAUUCCGGAUGCUUCUGAUGACAGGUACUUUCGACAUGACCAAUGGACGAGCAAAAACCGCAGUACGAAGGAUAGUCUUCAUACUCAAUCUUCUGCCAAAAACCCCACUGAUCAUCCCCUAUCCAAAUCCUGGAUCUUGGAGAAUUCAAUACAUCAACUUCCAACAAUAUUCGCGCUACAGACGGACGCUUCAGCGCUGCCGUAGCUUCAUCCACCUUUAAUGGUCGGCCCAGUAAGUUACCCAGCUUAAGCAGAAACUGCUUUUCAAAAAACGGCAAUGGAAGACCUGGGAAAUUGACCCAAACUGGUGCGAUGGACGACUCCGCUCCCGGCUUAAAAUCGAUUGUCCAUUUCGACAGAGACAUAUGGAAUUUGCCGAUGUACCAAGACUUUCGACACCAGAGUCUGGUGUAAUCCUCCUCCACGGAAGGUCGUAAGAGAAUAUGCUUGGAAUCUAAUAACCCUAUCGGACACUCACCCUUCAGCCCCAAAGAAACAACAAAUUUGCGAAUAGUCUCCAUGGAAGGCCGACCAACGGCAAACCUGCCAACCAGUGCAUUAGAAUAAGGUGCCGCUAUCUGUAACAUAUCUUGACGGGAGAUCACCAACGAAGGCUCCCCCUUGUAAGUACUGAGAUGGCCAAUGCCAGAGGACGAAGAAGACGGAGAUUGAGCCAGAACGGAGGCAAACGUCUUCGAAGGACGACCAAGAAGCGGCGCCUCCCCAUGUUGGGGAGCCGCCAUGAAACCCUACUAACCUUGCAAAGCCCGAAAAAAAUGGUGAGGAAGCCCGAUUCUAGAGAGAAAGCCCGAUUCUAGAGAGGAAGCCCGAUGUUCCUUUCUUCCCGUCUAUACUUCCUUAUUUAUUGUAAAUUUUAAUUUAUUAAUUUUCUUCUUUAUAUAUAGUUACAUCGUUUAUUUAUUGCCAUUACUAAAAUAUAAUUACAUCGUCUAUAUGUAGUUACAUUGUUUAUUUAUUUCCAUUGCUAAAAUAUGAACAAACUUUUAUUUUUUAAUCAUUCUAUACUUUAUAAAUUUCAAUCUAUUAAUUCCUUGCUUUAUAUAUGUUUACAUUGAUUAUAUCUUUCUUGAUUUUUUAGUCAGUGAACGCAUAAUUUUUCUUUUUUUAAUUUUCUUCAAUUAUGUUUACUCUAUCUCUAGUAUUAUACAUCGUCUAUAUAUAGUUACAUUGUUUAUUUAUUUCCAUUGCUAAAAUAUGAACAAACUUUUAUUUUUUAAUCAUUCUAUACUUUAUAAAUUUCAAUCUAUUAAUUCCCUGCUUUAUAUAUGUUUACAUUGAUUAUAUCUUUCUUGAUUUUUUAGUCAGUGAACGCAUAAUUUUUCUUUUUUUAAUUUUCUUCAAUUAUGUUUACUCUAUCUCUAGUAUUAUACUUUAUUAUUUAUUUCAAAAGUUUUGACAUUUUUCAUUUUUUAAUGAAUCUGUAUUACACAAUUUUAGCAUAUUAUGCAUACAAGUCCAUUUAAAUUUUUGAAAACUCCAUUUAAAUUUAAUAAAUAGUCAUUCUUUGCUAAAAUAUUCAAUUAAUUUUUAUACUCUCUUCAUUCAAAUCCAAUUUAGGCCAAAGUAGUUUUUUUAUAACAUUGAGUUGUAAAAGUUCUCCCAAACUACUUUUUUUAGUUUUAAAUAAUUUGAGCAAAUAAUAAGUUCAUCAUCUCUUUAGUUUACAUUUAAAAUUCUUUUUAGUCAUAAGAGAAUCAAAUGAUUAAUUGCACUUAUUUCCUAACAUAUCUCUUUCACUCAUACAUUGACUUGCCACCAUUAAUUAGAGUAAACAUAAUUGAAUUACGGGAUAAGAUUUUUUUUUUUUAGACAACUUCUUUUUUUUUAAAAAAUAAAAAUUUUAUUGCUGCAACCAACAAACAUACCCAGAUCGGGUCCAACCCAUUUCCAGGAGUACAAAUUCAAAACCCUGACCAAACCCACCACCCCCUACCGCCGGCACCUACGAAAGCUUGGGAACCCGUACACGUCCAAGGUAAUGUACCCCCUCACCAACCUCGGUAAAGCACUAUAAGUCUCAUAAAUGAUAGUAUGCCCAUCCUCCACUCCAGCGUUAGACAACCUGUCCGCCGGCUUGUUUGCCUCCCGAUAGCAAUGAGACACGGCUUCAAAAUACCGUCCAUAUUGCUGCAGCUCUCGUAGCUCCUUCUGCAAUCGCCAAGGACAUCUAACCUUCUCCUGAAUAAUCCAGACCAACACCAUUGAGUCAGACUCCAGAUGCAACCUAACUAAACCACGGGAUACACCUAAUCGAACACCAAAGAGAAGCGCUUUGAGUUCCGCUUGAAGGCUCGUAGCCUCCCCAAAAGAGCACGAGAAGCCAAGCAGGAACCUCCCCUCAGAAUCCCUGAACAAACCCCCACCGCCACUCCUCCCCGGAUUACCUCUUGAGCAACCAUCGGCAUUCAGUUUCACUACCGUCUGAGUCGGACCUUCCCAACGAAACUCCCGUUUAAUAACCUUGCAUCGCAGCCUAAAUAUCAUUUCAAAAAAAUCAAUUUGUGAACUACAAGGCAGAGGUAUCUCUCGAAACUGGAGACAGACGCAUUCUCUCAGCUCCAAGAAAAUCCGAUCACAAACAUGCACUACCGAGUCUAGCUUUCCCUCAAAGAUCCACAUAUUCCGCAUCUUCCAUAAAUUCCAACAAAUUAACGAUGGCAAUAUGCGGAGAACGAAACCAAGGUAUGGAUUAAUAUUAGGCUUAACCCACCAACUCAUCACUUUAUGUCUAAUCGUGAGAUAAGAUUCACUUGGAACUAAUUAUUAAGUUGUUAUACAACUAAUUAUUAAGUUAUUGUAAAUUAACCAUUAUUAAUAUGUUUAAUUUUAAUGUUUGCCUUACAAUAAAUACAUCAAAUUUUAUAAAAUAGCAUUUUAAGCUCUUUUAUAAUAAAAAAUAAAAAUUAUAGAACAUAAAAUAGUGCCCGUGCAAAUGCAUGAAAAAGAAACUAAUUGCUAAAUAAAAUUUGAAUAAUGUGGUCAUAUGAAAAGUUUCCAACCUAAAUGCAAUUAGGAGUAUCAGGUUUGUAAUGCAAGAUUAAGAAAAGCCUCGUGUUUAAAAAUAAUUGAUUCAAGGAUAUGACAUUGUGAGUGCCAAAAAGAUAUUAAUAAUGGUUUUGAGUUGGAAACCUCAACUUUAAUUCAUAAAGAAUGGAAAAAUGCAUAAAUGCGAACAAAAUGGUGAUACAAUCCACAUUUUGUAACCCAAAAAAGUAUUCACCAAGAAGUUCUGGCAGAAGAUUUUGAUAAAUAGCUCAAUGAACCAAAAUUAUCCCUUAGUCUAGCUAUAACAAGCAACUUGCACAUAAUGAGAAAGAAAAAACUAAACUUACAUAAGAGUAAAAUACUGAAACAUGAUUCUGAUGUCAUUGGGUUGAAACAUAUGUUUGCAGCUUUUAUAUUCUAACUGUUAAUGUCCAAUUCUAUCUAAUUAUUAUGCCUAGUAUGAUAAAACUAGCACAUGGGACAUUGUAGUGCUGAAUGUAAUUCAAACACGAGAUGUACCAUAGCACUUUUUCAUUUGGUUUUUUUAAUGGCACUAUAAGUAAUUCAAACCUACGGUGAAACUCGAGAAUGACAGAUAUGAUAAGUUAGGAAAAUUAGAUUUGCAAAUAAUGGAAAAAAAAGCACCUAAAUAUUUCAAAGUACUUUACACAUGGCAAUGAAAAUUUUCUGCCAUAAAAAAAGUUUACAAUCCAAAAACGUAGUUAAGUUAUUUAUUCAACGUGUUCAAAAUGCUAAUAUAUGCCACAAAAGGAAAAAAAAUUGCAUUCCAUACGAGAAAUUAUACAUAUUUCAUUGUGGAAUUAAGAAAAAAAAAAGAGUAGAAAAGAACUUGAAACUCAAACAUAUAAAUGCAUUCAUAGAGCUCAAACUGGAUGGAUAACAACGAUAAAGUAUGAUGACUUAAAAACAAUUCUGCCGACAAGUAAAUGACAUACAAAAUAGUUUAUUCUCAAUUAAUUUUUUAUGAUCUCUAUUUGCGAAUAGCUUUUGGCUUUAGAUUCUCCUUAGUGCUUUUAGUUGGAGAUAUAAUGUUAUUCAUGACUUACCAAAUCACAAGACUAUUCCUCCAAAGUUGCAUUUAAUGUCAUUCCACAUAUUUAGGAUCUAAAUGCAAAGAGAUUACUUUAAACUCAUUUUCGAUGAUCUGGACUAUAGGUUAAACAAAAUUUUUUCAGUCACCGGAAAAUGCACUGUGGGAGUAAUAGAUAUGAAUUAAAUGCCUUUUUUCAUGUAGGUAAUAAAAAUCGGUGCAAAAUGCUUCAAGAAAAGAUGUAACAAUCCUUUAUUUGGAUAGCUAAAUGACUAUUCUUAAAAGUUUAAAGAGCAAUUUUCUACAAUUAAUGGUAAUAUAAUUUGUAAUCGUAUUUGUGAGAGGAAAAUUUGAAGCUUGUGCUUUUGUUGUAUUAUAAAUUUAAUCACAACUUCUAACCAAAUUUAUUUUAACAACACAAAUAAAAAUCGUACUUGGUUAAAUAUUGAAUUCCGCUAUAUAAGAUUUUUGUAAUACUAACAAUAGUUGUUCUUGUAAUGACAACUAACAAUGGAAUAUAUUAUUUUGUUCGCUAAAUAAUAUUAGCUGAUUAUAUACGUGCAUAGCACAUGAUUUUUUCUAGUAAUUUGAAGUGUUCUAGAGAUACCAUUAGGAAUAAAGUUUACGAAAUGUGGCAUGAGCAGGUGAGCUUUGUCCGAUCUUUUAGGUUGGUAUAGUUCUUAUUAUUGGUAAACCCUAUUAAUUCUUUUUAAACAAACUUACUGCUUCAUUAGAUAAAAACUACGAUACAUUUGGCAAAUUCUACUAGUUUCCCAUUUAAAUGAGAUUCACAAUCUGGAAAAUCAUUUUUAUUUUUUUUUAUAAUCUCCCCGCAAUUUACAAUGAGUUCAGAGUGCUACCUUUGGUCAAUUUAGAAGAAUUUCCAUAAAGUCAUAAAAUAUCACAUAAGCAUUUUCAGAAGUAAUGUGACAAUCUUUUUAAAACGGCAUUGUGUGUCACUUGUCACCCGUUUCGAUGUUCCAUUGCCAUUGGAUGCAUUUCUAAGGCCUCGCUUGAAUAGUUAAAUUAAUUUAUGUUUCUUUUUUCUCAAGCCCUAAAUAUAAAUUUAAAAUAACCUAAUCAACAAUAUAAAGCAAACAAUUUAGUAGAGUGAAAUGAAAAGAACUCUGAAACACAUAAUGUAGUCAUAAUCGGCGUUUUACAACGCCUUUUUUUAUUUUUUCAAUUUUUUUUCUUUUUUUUGGGUUUUUUGUUUUGACUUUGAUGUACCCCUAACUAUUACACAUAGAUAAAAAGGAAAGAGAGAAAUUUACUACAUAAGACCCUAUGUAGCACGAAAAAACAAAGUAGACCCUGCACUGAAAACAUUAGCAGACACAACUACUGAUAAUCAUAGACUGAAUGGACACCAUUUUAUUUUGUUUUUCCUUUUUUUCAAUUUUUUUUUCUUUUAUUGCGGUACCAAACGACUGAAGGAUGAUGGUAAUGAGUGCAUCCACCCUAAUUAGGGCGAAUUUCGAUGCCCUUGAUAAUAAUGCCAGACUUCCAGAUUGUAUCACUGGUUUGAAAAAUCCUAGCUUCUACCGUGGAACUUCUUCCGCGGUUGUUGACGAAGUCACCCAAGUUCAAUUCCUUCCAUCCAUCACUACGGGUUUGAGGAUAUAUGCCCGGAUCCUUCGAAUCUUGUGACUUGUCAAUGAACACACUAUAGCCUUCGUCAUCAGUUCCCUUAGCCUUUUCUUCAGUAAAUCUAACCGAUGCAGUUGCUUUUUCAAGUCCCUUUGGCUUGGCAUUAAGUUUGAACACGAGAUAUGUCAAAUAGGAACUGCCCCUUGGGAGGUCCCUAGCAGGCACACUGGUUCGAAUGUCAAACCAGCAAACUUCAACAAGCUCGGCAACCUCGAAGCUGUACAAAGGCAUUAAAAUCAGUUUAGGAUAAUCUUCGAAAGUCAUCAACUAACUAAAGGGAGAAAGUGAGAUAAUAAUAUAAAUGCAAUAGGACUAUAUACAGGACGGGUAU